rnacentral:rRNA from 1 species
AGUGAACGCUGGCGGUAGGCCUAACACAUGCAAGUCGAACGGCAGCACAGUAAGAGCUUGCUCUUACGGGUGGCGAGUGGCGGACGGGUGAGGAAUACAUCGGAAUCUACUUUUUCGUGGGGGGUAACGUAGGGAAACUUACGCUAAUACCGCAUACGACCUACGGGUGAAAGCAGGGGAUCUUCGGACCUUGCGCGAUUGAAUGAGCCGAUGUCGGAUUAGCUAGUUGGCGGGGUAAAGGCCCACCAAGGCGACGAUCCGUAGCUGGUCUGAGAGGAUGAUCAGCCACACUGGAACUGAGACACGGUCCAGACUCCUACGGGAGGCAGCAGUGGGGAAUAUUGGACAAUGGGCGCAAGCCUGAUCCAGCCAUACCGCGUGGGUGAAGAAGGCCUUCGGGUUGUAAAGCCCUUUUGUUGGGAAAGAAAAGCAGCAGGUUAAUACCCCGCUGUUCUGACGGUACCCAAGGAAUAAGCACCGGCUAACUUCGUG